rnacentral:rRNA from 1 species
AUUGAACGCUGGCGGCAGGCCUAACACAUGCAAGUCGAGCGGUAGAGAGGUGCUUGCAUCUCUUGAGAGCGGCGGACGGGUGAGUAAUGCCUAGGAAUCUGCCUAGUGGUGGGGGAUAACGUUCGGAAACGGACGCUAAUACCGCAUACGUCCUACGGGAGAAAGCGGGGGAUCUUCGGACCUCGCGCCAUUAGAUGAGCCUAGGUCGGAUUAGCUAGUUGGUGAGGUAAUGGCUCGACCAAGGCGACGAUCCGUAACUGGUCUGAGAGGAUGAUCAGUCACACUGGAACUGAGACACGGUCCAGACUCCUACGGGAGGCAGCAGUGGGG